rnacentral:rRNA from 1 species
GAAGCUCCAGCUUGCUGGGGUGGAUGAGUGGCGAACGGGUGAGUAACACGUGAGUAACCUUCCCUUGACUCUGGGAUAAGCCCGGGAAACUGGGUCUAAUACCGGAUAUGACUUCUCAUCGCAUGGUGGGGGGUGGAAAGAUUUAUCGGUCUUGGAUGGACUCGCGGCCUAUCAGCUUGUUGGUGAGGUAAUGGCUCACCAAGGCGACGACGGGUAGCCGGCCUGAGAGGGUGACCGGCCACACUGGGACUGAGACACGGCCCAGACUCCUACGGGAGGCAGCAGUGGGGAAUAUUGCACAAUGGGCGCAAGCCUGAUGCAGCGACGCCGCGUGAGGGAUGACGGCCUUCGGGUUGUAAACCUCUUUCAGUAGGGAAGAAGCGAAAGUGACGGUACCUGCAGAAGAAGCGCCGGCUAACUACGUGCCAGCAGCCGCGGUAAUACGUAGGGCGCGAGCGUUAUCCGGAAUUAUUGGGCGUAAAGAGCUCGUAGGCGGUUUGUCGCGUCUGCCGUGAAAGUCCGGGGCUUAACCCCGGAUCUGCGGUGGGUACGGGCAGACUAGAGUGCAGUAGGGGAGAUUGGAAUUCCUGGUGUAGCGGUGGAAUGCGCAGAUAUCAGGAGGAACACCGAUGGCGAAGGCAGAUCUCUGGGCCGUAACUGACGCUGAGGAGCGAAAGCGUGGGGAGCAAACAGGCUUAGAUACCCUGGUAGUCCACCCCGUAAACGUUGGGAACUAGUUGUGGGGUCCAUUCCACGGAUUCCGUGACGCAGCUAACGCAUUAAGUUCCCCGCCUGGGGAGUACGGCCGCAAGGCUAAAACUCAAAGGAAUUGACGGGGACCCGCACAAGCGGCGGAGCAUGCGGAUUAAUUCGAUGCAACGCGAAGAACCUUACCAAGGCUUGACAUAUACGAGAACGGGCCAGAAAUGGUCAACUCUUUGGACACUCGUAAACAGGUGGUGCAUGGUUGUCGUCAGCUCGUGUCGUGAGAUGUUGGGUUAAGUCCCGCAACGAGCGCAACCCUCGUUCUAUGUUGCCAGCACGUAAUGGUGGGAACUCAUGGGAUACUGCCGGGGUCAACUCGGAGGAAGGUGGGGAUGACGUCAAAUCAUCAUGCCCCUUAUGUCUUGGGCUUCACGCAUGCUACAAUGGCCGGUACAAAGGGCUGCAAUACCGUGAGGUGGAGCGAAUCCCAAAAAGCCGGUCCCAGUUCGGAUUGAGGUCUGCAACUCGACCUCAUGAAGUCGGAGUCGCUAGUAAUCGCAGAUCAGCAACGCUGCGGUGAAUACGUUCCCGGGUCUUGUACACACCGCCCGUCAAGUCAUGAAAGUCGGUAACACCUGAAGCCGGUGGCCUAACCC